rnacentral:rRNA from 1 species
AAGUGAAAAACUUGUUCGCCGAAAGACUAAGGGUUCCUGAUCAACGUUAAUCGGAUCAGGGUUAGUCGGGUCCUUAGGCAAACCCGAAAGGGGUAGCUGAUGGCAAGUUAGUUAAUAUUCUAACACCAGUUUAGUUUCGAUGGGGUGACGGGGUAGUGAAAGAUCCGCCACAGAACGGUAAGUGGUUAAAGGGUGUAGUUAUAGGUUGUGUAGGCAAAUCCGCACGACUUGGCGAACCUGAUAGUACAGCAAUGCUUCGGCAACGCUGAUAGUGAUCCUAAUCAAACCUCCAAGAAAAACCUCUAAGGCUAGGCUAAAACUGCCCGUACCGUAAACCGACACAGGUAGUCGAGAUGAGUAUUCUAAGGCGCUCGGGUGAGCCGCGGAGAAGGAACUAGGCAAAUUAACGCUGUAACUUCGGGAUAAAGCGUACCAUCUUCGGAUGGUCUCAGUAAAAUGGUUCAACCAACUGUUUAGCAAAAACACAGGGCCCUGCAAAAUCGUAAGAUGACGUAUAGAGCCUGAUACCUGCCCGGUGCUGGAAGGUUAAGGAAGGAUGUUCGGCGCAAGCCAAAGCUUCUGACUGAAGCCCCAGUAAACGGCGGCCGUAACAAUAACGGUCCUAAGGUAGCGAAAUUCCUUGUCGGGUAAGUUCCGACCUGCACGAAUGGUCUAAUGAGUUGAACACUGUCUCCUCCGCGAGCCCGGUGAAAUUGUAGUAUCGGUGAAGAUGCCGGUUACCCGCCACGGGACGAAAAGACCCCGUGAACCUUCACUACAGCUUUACAUUGAUUUUGAGUAACAGAUGUGUAGAAUAGUUGGGACGCUACGAAGCCAUGCCGCCAGGUGUGGUGGAGCGGUCGUUGAAAUACCAACCUUCUGUUACUUAGAGUCUAAUCCCUAACGGGAGACAUUGUAUGGUGGGUAGUUUGGCUGGGGUGGUCGCCUCCUAAAAAGUAACGGAGGCUCGCAAAGGCGCCCUCAGCAUGGUUGGUAAUCAUGCGUAGAGCGUAUUAGUAUAAGGGCGCUUGACUGUGAGACAGACAUGUCGAGCAGGUGCGAAAGCAGGCUAAAGUGAUCCGGUGGUUCCGCAUGGAAGGGCCAUCGCUCAAAGGAUAAAAGGUACUCCCGGGAUAACAGGCUGACCUCCCCCAAGAGCUCAUAUCGACGGGGAGGUUUGGCACCUCGAUGUCGGUUCGUCACAUCCUGGGGCUGGAGAAGGUCCCAAGGGUUCGGCUGUUCGCCGAUUAAAGUGGCACGUGAACUGGGUUCAGAACGUCGCAAGACAGUUCGGUCUCUAUCUGUGGUGGGCGUUAGUAAAUUGAGAAGACAUGACCUUAGUACGAGAGGACCGGGUCGUACACACCGCUGGUGUAUCUGUUGUGCCGCCAGGUGCAAUGCAGAGUAGCUACGUGUGGCAAGGAUAAGCGCUGAAAGCAUCUAAGCGCGAAACCUUCUUCAAGAUGAGUUUACUUUUAAGGGUCGUAGAAGACGACUACGUUGAUAGGCUAUAGGUGUAAAAUUGGUAACAAUAAAGCCGAGUAGUACUAAUUGCCCGUAAGCUUUUAUU